rnacentral:rRNA from 1 species
CGUGUAGGCGGUUAGGUAAGUGGGACGUGAAAUCCCUCGGCUCACCCGAGGACCUGCGUCCCAAACUGCCUAGCUUGAGUAUGGGAGAGGAUGAGGGAAUUCCUGGUGUAGCGGUGAAAUGCGUAGAUAUCAGGAGGAACACCGGUGGCGAAGGCGCUCAUCUGGCUCAAUACUGACGCUGAGGCGCGAAAGCUAGGGAGCAAACG